GACGAACGCUGGCGGCGUGCCUAAUACAUGCAAGUAGAGCGCAGUUGCGAACGGGUGAGUGACACGUAGGUAACUGCCUCAUAGCGGGGGAUAACUCUUGGAAACGAUAGCUAAUACCGCAUACUGUGAGAUGGACCUGCGUUGUAUUAGCGAGUUGGUACGUUAAAGGCUCACCAAGGCGACGAUACAUAGCCGACCUGAGAGGGUUAUCGGCCCAACUGGGCAUGAGACACUGCCCAGCAUCCCACGGGAGGCAGCAGUAGGGAAUCUUCGGCAAUGGACGGAAGUCUGACCGAGCAACGCCGCGUUAGUGAAGAAGGUUUUCGGAUCUGAAAGCUCUGUUGUUAGAGAAGCGGUAACGAACCAGAAAGGGACGUCUAACUACGUGCCAGCCGCCGCGGUAAUAC
rnacentral:rRNA from 1 species